UAAUAAAAAUGGACUAAUUUUAAUAUACUUGUUUUAAAAAUGAUUUAUUAUGAUUAUCAUUCAAUCAACAGUGCUGCUAGAAAGCUGUUAUUUAGCCUGAAUUUUAGAAAAUGUGUUAAUUUUUUCAAAGGUACAUUGAUUUUUUUGAUAGGAAUAAGUUGAAUGCAGUGACGGUGGCAGAGGGCUGAUUUUUAUACCAUAUAACAUAAGUUUAUUUUACUUGGUAGUAUGUAAAUUUUACUGGU
rnacentral:lncRNA from 1 species